UGUGACAGGCCGGUAGUAUCUUCGAUGACGUUGAAAUCGGCUGAGUACAAAAACGAGCUUUUACUCCUCUCCAAUUUGAUACACAAACAUUGGAACCAGUUGCCUGCUUCAAUGGAUGUCCAAUGUCAACGACCCAGCGAAGCUAUUUCACCGUUCUACACACUGUUGACACCUAACGGAUCCUUACAGCUAUUGAAGAAUCGAUGGACUUGGCAUAGAGCCAUCGAGAUCCUUACGCAGUCGUUAGAUGUCAAUAUAUCGGUUCCUCAGGUCGCUGAUGCGGAGCUAGUUGCAGCCAAUUUGAAUGCAGAAAAUACAAAAAUGGCUAAAAUCGUGGACGAAAUUCGGUUUAUGUACCAAACGGGAAAUCAAACCGUUGCGGAAAUUCGGAAAUAUUUACAAUUUUUACUGGACACAUCGUUGGGAUCGCUUAUACCAGAAAGUCUCAUGAUAAACCGACGUAGUUUCUGCGAUUACGAAGAAGAGUUUC